GACGAACGCUGGCGGCGUGCUUAACACAUGCAAGUCGAACGAUGAUGCCCAGCUUGCUGGGUGGAUUAGUGGCGAACGGGUGAGUAACACGUGAGUGACCUGCCCCUGACUCUGGGAUAAGCGUUGGAAACGACGUCUAAUACUGGAUAUGACUGCCGGCCGCAUGGUCUGGUGGUGGAAAGAUUUUUUGGUUGGGGAUGGACUCGCGGCCUAUCAGCUUGUUGGUGAGGUAAUGGCUCACCACGGCGACGACGGGUAGCCGGCCUGAGAGGGGAACCGGCCACGCUGGGAAGAAGACACGGCCCAGACUCCUACGGGAGGCAGCAGUGGGGAAUAUCGCACAAUGGGCGAAAGCCUGAUGCAGCAACGCCGCGUGAGGGAUGACGGCCUUCGGGUUGUAAACCUCUUUUAGUAGGGAAGAAGCGAAAGUGACGGUACCUGCAGAAAAAGCACCGGCUAACUACGUGCCAGCCGCCGCCGUAA
rnacentral:rRNA from 1 species